UGCAUGUCUAAGUACACACGAAUUAAAAGUGAAACCGCAAAAGGCUCAUUAUAUCAGUUAUGGUUCCUUAGAUCGUUAACAGUUACUUGGAUAACUGUGGUAAUUCUAGAGCUAAUACAUGCAUUAUAAACACGGACCUCCGGGACGUGUGCUUUUAUUAGGCUAAAACCAAGCGAUCGAGAGAUCGUUCUUAUGGUUGAACUCUAGAUAACUUGCAGAUCGCAUGGUCUUGUACCGGCGACAGAUCUUUCAAAUGUCUGCCCUAUCAACUUUUGAUGGUAGUAUUUAGGACUACCAUGGUUGCAACGGGUAACGGGGAAUCAGGGUUCGAUUCCGGAGAGGGAGCCUGAGAAACGGCUACCACAUCUAAGGAAGGCAGCAGGCGCGUAAAUUACCCACUCCCAGCUCGGGGAGGUAGUGACGAAAAAUAACAAUACAGGACUCAUAUUAGAGGCCCUGUAAUUGGAAUGAGUACACUUUAAAUCCUUUAACAAGGACCUAUUGGAGGGCAAGUCUGGUGCCAGCAGCCGCGGUAACUCCAGCUCCAAUAGCGUAUAUUAAAGUUGUUGCGGUUAAAACGUUCGUAGUUGAACUUGUGCUUCAUACGGGUAGUACAACUAUAAUUGUAGUUUGUACUGUACCUUAUGUAUG
rnacentral:rRNA from 1 species